GACGGAGGAUGCAAGCGUUAUCCGGAAUCAUUGGGCGUAAAGCGCGCGUAGGCGGCCCGGUAAGUCCGUUGUGAAAGUCAAAGGCUCAACCUUUGAAAGCCGAUGGAUACUGCCGGGCUGGAGUCCGGAAGAGGCGAGUGGAAUUCCUGGUGUAGCGGUGGAAUGCGCAGAUAUCAGGAGGAACACCAAUAGCGAAGGCAGCUCGCUGGGACGGUACUGACGCUGAGGCGCGAAAGCGUGGGGAGCGAACAGG
rnacentral:rRNA from 1 species